rnacentral:lncRNA from 1 species
UUCCGCUUCCCGACUUGCCCUAACCGACGGAAACGUUGGAUUGCUCAAGUGAAGCGAGAUUGCUGGGAGCCUACUACUACUUGCCGUGUUUGUGAGGUGAGUGCUCAAGCUUUCAGCGGAGGA